AUUGAACGCUGGCGGCAUGCCUUACACAUGCAAGUCGAACGGCAGCACGGGGGCAACCCUGGUGGCGAGUGGCGAACGGGUGAGUAAUGCAUCGGAACGUGCCCAGUAGUGGGGGACAACCAGUCGAAAGAUUGGCUAAUACCGCAUACGACCUAUGGGUGAAAGCGGGGGACCGUAAGGCCUCGCGCUAUUGGAGCGGCCGAUGUCUGAUUAGCUAGUUGGUGAGGUAAAAGCUCACCAAGGCGACGAUCAGUAGCUGGUCUGAGAGGACGACAAGCCACACUGGGACUGAGACACGGCCCAGACUCCUACGGGAGGCAGCAGUGGGGAAUUUUGGACAAUGGGCGCAAGCCUGAUCCAGCCAUGCCGCGUGCGGGAAGAAGGCCUUCGGGUUGUAAACCGCUUUUGGCAGGAACGAAACGGCGACUCUUAAUACGGGUCGUUAAUGACGGUACCUGCAGAAUAAGCACCGGCUAACUACGUGCCAGCCGCCGCAGUAAUAC
rnacentral:rRNA from 1 species